rnacentral:lncRNA from 1 species
GUUUUCGACAUGUUGAUUUGUGAUGUCUAUUACACAACCUAUAUGGAUGUUAAGUUAGCAUUUGGCUUUGGAUUACAGAUUCGGCCAGAGACAUAAAUUUGAGAAUCAGUAGUGAUUAGAAGGAAUGAGAUCACCAAAAGAAUGAGUAUAGGUAGAGAAGAGGUGGAUGAACUUGGGAACACUUCAGGAUAAGUGGUUGGGCAAAGACAAAGAACCAGCAAAUGGACUAUUAAGGAACUCCCGUUGAGAGAGGAGGAAAACCAAAGUUGUGUGGUGCCCUGGAAGACAAGUGAAGGAAGGGUGUCUUGAAGAAGGUGUAAAACCAAGCUGUAGCCCAACCACCUGGGGAACAUGUUUUCAAGACCUCCUGCUGUUGUAUCAUAAGUCAUGCUCCUCAAAUUUGGCUCAGAAUAAAUCUCUUCAAAUAUUUUACAGAGUUUGACUCUUCUCAUUGACACUAAGAAGUAGGAAGGCAAAUCAAGGACUGAAAAUCCCCUUUUACUCAUUUUGUCCUUUUGGCCAAAUUGCUUUUUAUUUCUAUAUUGGAAGACAUAUAUUAUUU